AAGGCCCAGACAGCCAGGAUGUUGGCUUAGAAGCAGCCAUCAUUUAAAGAAAGCGUAAUAGCUCACUGGUCGAGUCGGCCUGCGCGGAAGAUGUAACGGGGCUAAACCAUGCACCGAAGCUGCGGCAGCGACACUAUGUGUUGUUGGGUAGGGGAGCGUUCUGUAAGCCUGUGAAGGUGUACUGUGAGGUAUGCUGGAGGUAUCAGAAGUGCGAAUGCUGACAUAAGUAACGAUAAAGCGGGUGAAAAGCCCGCUCGCCGGAAGACCAAGGGUUCCUGUCCAACGUUAAUCGGGGCAGGGUGAGUCGACCCCUAAGGCGAGGCCGAAAGGCGUAGUCGAUGGGAAACAGGUUAAUAUUCCUGUACUUGGUGUUACUGCGAAGGGGGGACGGAGAAGGCUAUGUUGGCCGGGCGACGGUUGUCCCGGUUUAAGCGUGUAGGCUGGUUUUCCAGGCAAAUCCGGAAAAUCAAGGCUGAGGCGUGAUGACGAGGCACUACGGUGCUGAAGCAACAAAUGCCCUGCUUCCAGGAAAAGCCUCUAAGCAUCAGGUAACAUCAAAUCGUACCCCAAACCGACACAGGUGGUCAGGUAGAGAAUACCAAGGCGCUUGAGAGAACUCGGGUGAAGGAACUAGGCAAAAUGGUGCCGUAACUUCGGGAGAAGGCACGCUGAUAUGUAGGUGAAGUCCCUCGCGGAUGGAGCUGAAAUCAGUCGAAGAUACCAGCUGGCUGCAACUGUUUAUUAAAAACACAGCACUGUGCAAACACGAAAGUGGACGUAUACGGUGUGACGCCUGCCCGGUGCCGGAAGGUUAAUUGAUGGGGUCAGCGCAAGCGAAGCUCUUGAUCGAAGCCCCGGUAAACGGCGGCCGUAACUAUAACGGUCCUAAGGUAGCGAAAUUCCUUGUCGGGUAAGUUCCGACCUGCACGAAUGGCGUAAUGAUGGCCAGGCUGUCUCCACCCGAGACUCAGUGAAAUUGAACUCGCUGUGAAGAUGCAGUGUACCCGCGGCAAGACGGAAAGACCCCGUGAACCUUUACUAUAGCUUGACACUGAACAUUGAGCCUUGAUGUGUAGGAUAGGUGGGAGGCUUUGAAGUGUGG
rnacentral:rRNA from 1 species